GAUGUGGGGUUGCACAGACAACUAGGAUGUUAGCUCAGAAGCAGCUAUCAUUCAAAGAGUGCGUAAUAGCUCACUAGUCGAGUGACCCUGCGCCGAAAAUGUACCGGGGCUAAACAUAUUACCGAAGCUGUGGAUUUAAUAUUAAUUAAAUGGUAGGAGAGCGUUGUAAUCAGCGAUGAAGGUAUACCGUGAGGGGUGCUGGAGCGAUUACAAGUGAGAAUGCCGGUAUGAGUAGCGCAAGAUAAGUGAGAAUCUUAUCCACCGUAAGACUAAGGUUUCCAGGGGAAGGCUCGUCCGCCCUGGGUUAGUCGGGACCUAAGGCGAGGCCGAAAGGCGUAGUCGAUGGACAACAGGUUGAUAUUCCUGUACUAGUAUUGUUAGUGAUGGAGGGACGCAGUAGGCUAAAGGGAGCCAGUUAAUGGAUUCUGGUCUAAGCAGUGAGGUGUGGAAUGUGUCAAAUGCAUUUUCCUUUAACAUUGAGCUGUGAUGGGGAAGCAACUACGGUUGCGAAGCCCUUGAUGUCACACUGCCAAGAAAAUCUUCUAGCGUUUAAUUCAAUACUACCCGUACCGCAAACCGACACAGGUAGUCGAGGCGAGUAGCCUCAGGUGAUCGAGAGAACUCUCGUUAAGGAACUCGGCAAAAUGACCCCGUAACUUCGGGAGAAGGGGUGCUGUAGAAAUACAGCCGCAGUGAAAAGAUCCAAGCAACUGUUUAUCAAAAACACAGCUCUCUGCUAAACCGCAAGGUGAUGUAUAGGGGGUGACGCCUGCCCGGUGCUGGAAGGUUAAGAGGAGGGGUUAGCUUAGGCGAAGCUCUGAAUUGAAGCCCCAGUAAACGGCGGCCGUAACUAUAACGGUCCUAAGGUAGCGAAAUUCCUUGUCGGGUAAGUUCCGACCCGCACGAAAGGCGUAAUGAUUUGGAUACUGUCUCAACGAGAGACUCGGUGAAAUUUUAGUACCUGUGAAGAUGCAGGUUACCCGCGACAGGACGGAAAGACCCCAUGGAGCUUUACUGCAGAUUGAUAUUGAGUACCUGUGAAGCAUGUACAGGAUAGGUAGGAGACUUUGACCUUGGGACGCUAGUUUCAAGUGAGUCGCUGUUGGGAUACUACCCUUGCUUCAUGGUUGCUCUAACCCACACGCAUAAUCGGCGUGGGAGACAGUGUCUGUCGGGCAGUUUGACUGGGGCGGUCGCCUCCUAAAAGGUAACGGAGGCGCCCAAAGGUUCCCUCAGAAUGGUUGGAAAUCAUUCGCAGAGUGUAAAGGUAUAAGGGAGCUUGACUGCGAGAGCUACAACUCGAGCAGGUAGGAAACUAGGGCUUAGUGAUCCGGUGGUACCGCAUGGAAGGGCCAUCGCUCAACGGAUAAAAGCUACCCUGGGGAUAACAGGCUUAUCUCC
rnacentral:rRNA from 1 species